CAGAGGCCUCAAGCGUUGUUCGGAAUCACUGGGCGUAAAGGGUGCGUAGGCGGCGCGGAAAGUCAGGGUGAAAUCCCGGAGCUCAACUCCGGAACUGCCUUUGAUACUCCCGCGCUUGAGAACUGGAGGGGAGAUCGGAAUUCACGGUGGAGCAGUGAAAUGCGUGGAUAUCGUGAGGAACACUAGUGGCGAAGGCGGAUCUCUGGACAGUAUCUGACGCUGAGGCACGAAGGCCAGGGAGCGAACGGAUU
rnacentral:rRNA from 1 species